GGAAUUGAGGGGUGCUGAAGAUACUUAAGUUCAUUAGUGUUUGUUUUUAUUUGGUGUGUUUAUUUUAUUUUAUGUGGUGUCUUUUUUUAGUUCAUUUAGUGAGUUGAAAUGUAAUUUUAUUUGGUGUUUGUUUUUAUUUGGUGUGUUUAUUUUAUUUUAUGUGGUGUGUUUUUUUAGUUCAUUUAGUGAGUUCAAAUGUAAUUUUAUUUUAUUUGGUGUGUUUUUUUUGGUGUGUUGAUGUUAUUUUAUUUGGUGUGUUUAAAUGUGUUUUGAAUAAAGUACUAAAUUCAAUAAAUUGGAAACAACAUAAAGUACUAAAUUCAAUAAAUUACCAAAUGAAAUAAAUAUACUUUUAGUUUAAAUAAAGUACUAAAUUCAAUAAAUUGGAAACAACAUAAAGUAC
rnacentral:lncRNA from 1 species